UACGUAGGGAGCGAGCGUUGUCCGGAAUCAUUGGGCGUAAAGAGCGCGUAGGUGGACCAAUUAGUCUGCUGUGAAAGUCAAAGGCUCAACCUUUGAAAGCCGGUGGAUACUGUUGAUCUAGAGUACGGAAGAGGCGAGUGGAAUUCCUGGUGUAGCGGUGGAAUGCGCAGAUAUCAGGAGGAACACCAAUAGCGAAGGCAGCUCGCUGGGACGUUACUGACACUGAGGCGCGGAAAGCGUGGGGAGCAAACAGG
rnacentral:rRNA from 1 species